rnacentral:rRNA from 1 species
UGCUGGGAAACUGGGUCUAAUACCGGAUACGACCUCCUGCGGCAUCGCGGGUGGUGGAAAGUUUUUCGGUUGGGGAUGGGCUCGCGGCCUAUCAGCUUGUUGGCGGGGUAGUGGCCUACCAAGGCGACGACGGGUAGCCGGCCUGAGAGGGCGACCGGCCACACUGGGACUGAGACACGGCCCAGACUCCUACGGGAGGCAGCAGUGGGAAUAUUGCGCAAUGGGCGGAAGCCUGACGCAGCGACGCCGCGUGGGGGAUGACGGCCUUCGGGUUGUAAACCUCUUUCAGCAGGGACGAAGUUGACGUGUACCUGCAGAAGAAGCGCCGGCUAACUACGUGCCAGCAGCCGCGGUAAUACGUAGGGCGCAAGCGUUGUCCGGGAUUAUUGGGCGUAAAGAGCUCGUAGGUGGCUGGUCACGUCUGCCGUGAAAGCCCGCAGCUUAACUGCGGGUCUGCGGUGGAUACGGGUCGGCUAGAGGUAGGUAGGGGCAAGUGGAAUUCCUGGUGUAGCGGUGAAAUGCGCAGAUAUCAGGAGGAACACCGGUGGCGAAGGCGGCUUGCUGGGCCUUACCUGACGCUGAGGAGCGAAAGCGUGGGGAGCGAACAGGAUUAGAUACCCUGGUAGUCCACGCUGUAAACGUUGGGCGCUAGGUGUGGGGAUCUUCCACGAUUUCCGUGCCGGAGCUAACGCAUUAAGCGCCCCGCCUGGGGAGUACGGCCGCAAGGCUAAAGCUCAAAGGAAUUGACGGGGGCCCGCACAAGCGGCGGAGCAUGUUGCUUAAUUCGACGCAACGCGAAGAACCUUACCAAGGUUUGACAUCACCCGGAAACGCUCAGAGAUGGGCGCCUCUUCGGACUGGGUGACAGGUGGUGCAUGGCUGUCGUCAGCUCGUGUCGUGAGAUGUUGGGUUAAGUCCCGCAACGAGCGCAACCCUUGUUCCAUGUUGCCAGCACGCUCCUUCGGGGGUGGUGGGGACUCAUGGGAGACUGCCGGGGUCAACUCGGAGGAAGGUGGGGAUGACGUCAAGUCAUCAUGCCCCUUAUGUCUUGGGCUGCAAACAUGCUACAAUGGCCGGUACAGAGGGCUGCUAAACCGUGAGGUGGAGCGAAUCCCUAAAAGCCGGUCUCAGUUCGGAUUGGGGUCUGCAACUCGACCCCAUGAAGUCGGAGUCGCUAGUAAUCGCAGAUCAGCAACGCUGCGGUGAAUACGUUCCCGGGCCUUGUACACACCGCCCGUCACGUCACGAAAGUCGGCAACACCCGAAGCCCGUGGCCCAACCACCUUGUGUGGGGGGAGCGGUCGAAGGUGGGGCUGGCGAUUGGGACGAAGUCGUAACAAGGUA